rnacentral:rRNA from 1 species
UGGGGAAUAUUGCACAAUGGGGGAAACCCUGAUGCAGCGACGCCGCGUGAACGAAGAAUGUAUUCGUAUCGUAAAGUUCUGUCCUAUGGGAAGAUAAUGACAGUACCAUAGAAGAAAGCUCCGGCUAAAUACGUGCCAGCAGCCGCGGUAAUACGUAUGGAGCGAGCGUUGUCCGGAAGUAUUGGGCGUAAAGGGUACGCAGGCGGUUUAAUAAGUCGAAUGUUAAAGAACGGGGCUCAACCCCGCAAAGCAUUGGAAGCUGAUAAAAUUGAGUAGUGGAGAGGAGAGUGGAAUUACUUGUGUAGUGGUGAGAUACGUAGAUAUUAGGAGGAAUACCAGUAGCGAAGGCGACUUUCUGGAAACAAACUGACGCUGAGGUACGAAAGCGUGGGGAGCAAACAGG